CAGAGUGUCAUAUGCUGAAGAACAAAGAAGCAUUAAAGUAUAACUGGGGAGAUUCAUGGAUUUACAUGUUUGUUGUUCAUUGACUUCCAUGUUAAAUGCCCAUAAAGGGCCAUACAUGGUUUCAAACACAGCAAAAUAUCCUCAGUGUCUUCUCUCAUGGAACUCAUGGACUGAAAAAACUGAGAAGUUGAAGUAUAUCAGAACUUACAUAACUGUCAUGAGACAAUAAUAAUAAGGAAAACUUGCAUUUUAAUCCCUGGCACUAACGGAGUUCACAUGAGAAGACAGUGCAAAGUAAGAGACAAAGAAAACUCCAAAGGUUGCACGAAACAAAGCCAUGAACUGCAGGCACAGUGGUGAGAAAGACAAAGGAAGAUUUAAGAAGAUAUAAAACACUAGUUAAGGGAAAUUGGGGAGCAAAUUUUGAGAUGCUGAAUAGGAUUCUCAUACAAAGUUAAGUAUUUACUUGAAUUUUGUGAGGAAAACAGUACAGAUAGCACAUUGCCUAGUUGCAUGAAGUAGCCGGGUUCACUCAAGGCUACUAUGUUUCCAGUGUUUUCCUUCUAGUGAGCAGCUUGAGAGUAUUCACGAAGAAUAGCAAGUCAGUUGUAUAAAGGUACAUAUAACUGCAUUUUUCCCAGCUCUUGUUAUGUUACCUGGAGGAAUCACCAAAUUAUUCUAGGUAGGCUAAAAUUAAUAAUAGUGCAUCAAAUUGUGAUUCCAUAGGUUUAAAAUCAGAAGGAAGUAUUUAAAAGGAGGAGAUAGAAAUAUGCUACAUAGGUAAUUUCCUGUACAAGAAUAAUUAAUACCUGGUAAUCUCAGAAGUACUAUGGUCUUCUAGUUUACAACAGUAUGUUCAGAAUGUACCUCCAAUGUGCAAAUCUGCCAGUAUUCUGAGUCCAAUUAUGCUCCUCAUACAUUGCUGACAUUUCCUUGUAUUUCUUCCAAGACAUUUAACUUUCAAAAAUAAAAAAAAUACAACCCUAUUUUCCCUACAGUUUUAUCUGUAUUUCCCAUUAAUCUUUAUUUUCUUGAAGCUGUAGCCAUUGUUAAUGGGAACUAAGGAAGUUACAAUCUCAUGGAAAUUAAUGUUGAUGAAAAUAGAUUUCCUAUCAUUUAUAUAGGAAAGACAUGAUCCAUAAUUGCUGGUAAAAUGUAAGCAGUAGUCAUGUGUAAAUUGAUCCCUUUAAGAGAAAUACAUGGGUUUAAGGUCACUAUUUCUAACAUGCAUCAUUCAUU
rnacentral:lncRNA from 1 species